CCUCAUCAUCUUCUAUCUCUUUUUGAAUUCGCGCACUAGCGCUCAUUCCUCUAUUUCUUCUUCUUCCUCCUCAUGAGCUGAGAGAAUAUUGAAACGGGAAGGUUUCAGAUUUGAGUCGGACUUCGGAAGAAUUCACGAGCAUACUUAUCAGAAGAAUUAUCGAGCAGAUUUUUCAUGCAGACUUCUCAAAAGACUUCACACGAAUUAAGCGAAAAAUUUAAAUUUAAGCGAGAAAUACAAAUUUUAAAUGAAAUUUGACAAAUUAGAAGACUUGAAUUCUGGAGAAGUCUUCUAGUUCACAGUCAAAUUUCACUUAAAAUCUAAGUUCUCUUUAUGGUUAGUAGACUCUUGAUAGUUUAUAUAAUAUUGUAAAUAAUAAAUCUACUUUAUCUCUAAUUAUUAAAAAAUAUUUUUUAAUGUUUGUUUAUUCAUUCAAGUUCUUGUAAUAAUAAAUUAUUGUCUUCAUGUGCAUAUUUUUUUUAAGAUUAUGGUUAUGAAAAUUAGAAGGCAAGCUUAUGAUAAUAUAACAAUUGAAACAAGUUUAACAUAACAAACAUAAAAAUAAGUUACUAGCUUAACACCCUUGAAAAACAAGUUACUUAACAUAUGUUAAAAGUUGCUUAACACUUUUGAAAAUACAAGUUUUACAAAAACUAACGUCUAGAAAUCUCCUGAGAAACCUUCGGGCGAAUUAAGCGGGAAAUUAAAAAUUUAAGCGGAAAAUUUAAAUUUUAAGUAAAAAUAAAAAAAUUUAAAUCUCAUAAAAGUUAAAAAAAUAAAUCUUAUGAUCUAAGAAGACACAUUAAACCACAUGACUUGAUAUUCUUGAAGUUACUUAACACUUUUGAAAGUUAAAAAAAAAACAUAUAUUGAAGUUAUUUAACACUCUUAAAAAUACAAGUUUACAAAAACAAGCGGAGAAUAUUUCUCUUCUCUCAUUAACUAGAAACAUUAAUAAACAUGAAUAUUUGUAACCUCAUAAUUAUCACCAAGACUUCUUAAAAAGUAUUUCAUUUAUGUCAUUUUUGCAAUUGCAAAUUUACGAACAUGACCUCUUAAGAAGUAUAAUCUACAACAGACUUUUUAAAAAGUCUUAUUUUGUAAAUUUUGGUUUAUUUCUGUAGAGGUUUUCUAACACUCACAAGAAGUCUUCUCACUGUCGCAAGAAGCCUGCGUAUGUUACUUUUGCAAUUGAUUAUAUUUGACUUUUUCAGCUAAUUAUUAUUAAAGGUUUUAAUUUAAAUUUUAAUUGCAAAAAGAACCUACGCUGACUUCUUGCGAUAGUAAGAAGACUUCAUGUAACAGUAAAGAAGACUUCCCGAGAAGUGUUCCGACAGAAGACUUCUCGGAAAGUUUUCAAUAAAGUCAAAUUUUUGACAAAAUUUGGUUAAUUUCAAAACGAACAUGUUUGUCCGAGAAGACUCUAGGAGUGAGAAGAUACUCGUCUUUUGUUAACAAAGAAAAGUGGAAGACCUCUAGAGAAGUCUUCUAUUAAAACACACAUAAAAUCAAUUGAAAAAUAACCUAUGCAUUGACGAGAAAACUUCUCACUAAGUUAAGUUUUCUUUGCGAAACAGAUCUGUAAAGAUCAAAUAUUAUUCUUAAAUCCGGUGAGAUUCAUGUUUAGCUUCUCCAAGCACAUAUAAAUUCUUAAAGAAUGUUACCCUUUCGUUCUUGACCAAGAAUCAUGAACUUGAGUAACUUUAAUUAGCUUAUAAAUUUUAAAAUAAAAAGAGAGAUUUUGGAAUGGAAUGAGAGAGAAAGUGAAAGAUAAAUGGUUUGUAUGUGUAAGAAAUGAGGAUAUGAAGAUGUUGAUGUUGAUUUUAGGUGCAUUUAGAGCUUGCAAUUGGUUGUUCAUGGUGGUUGAUGUAUUGAUGACAAUGUUGUAAAUAAAAAAAGAAGAUGAAGAUGAUUGAGUUAAACAAGCAUUU